rnacentral:rRNA from 1 species
CCCUUAGAUGUUCUGGGCCGCACGCGUGCUACACUGAGUGGAUCAGCGGGUCAGGUUGCGCGAAAGUGUUUCCUAAUCUUGAAAUCCGCUCGUGAUGGGGAUUGACGGUUGCAAUUUUCCGUCAUGAACGAGGAAUACCUUGUAAGCGCGGGUCAUCAUCCCGCGCUGAAUACGUCCCUGCCCUUUGUACACACCGCCCGUCGCUCCUACCGAUUGAGUGGUCCGGUGAGGCUUUGGGAUCUGAGCGGAAAGAGCGUUUCGCUGUUUCUGCUCGGAAAACUCAGUCGAACCUUAUCAUUUAGAGGAAGGAGAAGGCGGAACA